rnacentral:rRNA from 1 species
GAAUAUUGCACAAUGGGGGAAACCCUGAUGCAGCAACGCCGCGUGAGUGAAGAAGGCCCUUGGGUCGUAAAGCUCUUUAGCGAGGGAAGAAGGUUGGUACGGUGAAUAAUCGGAUCAGCUGACGGUACCUCGAGAAUAAGCACCGGCUAAUUUCGUGCCAGCAGCCGCGGUAAUACGUAGGGGGCAAGCGUUGUCCGGAAUUAUUGGGCGUAAAGCGCGCGCAGGCGGUGAUGUAAGUUUGGUGUAUAAGCUCGUGGCUCAACCACGGGACGCACUGAAAACUGUGUCGCUGGAGUGCAGGAGAGGAAAGUGGAAUUCCACGUGUAGCGGUGAAAUGCGUAGAUAUGUGGAGGAACACCAGUGGCGAAGGCGACUUUCUGGCCUGUAACUGACGCUGAGGCGCGAAAGCGUGGGGAGCAAACAG